CCAGCAGCAUUCAAUUGUGACACGUGUGGGGUCUGGUUCUAGAACUCUGUUAGUUCUUCAAGUUAGUUCUUCAACUUUAGGAAUAGAGUUCUUUUUCGUCUAGUAGAUCGUAUUUUAUAACCUUAGUAUUAAGUGCUAAGGGGAAGAUUUGUGCAACAUUUUAUCCAGGAAACUUCAAAAAAAAAUUGUUUAAAAGUUAGAUCUAGAAACAAUUUGUGGAAUAAUUUUGUUUUCAGUGCGUUUUGACUUGAAGUAGGAAUAAGAAAGAUAGGUUUUAAUAAAAAGAAGAAAGCAUUAAAGAUAGAGAACUCAGCUACGUUUCUCAUCGACAAAGACAAGAGGCUUCAAAGAUACCAAGAAAGACUUGAAAAAGUUCUACAUACUGCUAAACAAACU